rnacentral:rRNA from 1 species
CGUGGGGAUCAACAGGAUUAGAUAGCCUGUAGUUCCACGCCCUAAACUAUGGAUACUCGACAUAUGCGAUACACUGUAUGUGUCUGAGCGAAAGCAUUAAGUAUCCCACCUGGGAAGUACGUUCGCAAGAAUGAAACUCAAAGGAAUUGGCGGGGGUCCGCACAAGCGGUGGAGUAUGUGGUUUAAUUCGAUGAUACGCGAGGAACCUUACCUGGGCUAGAAUGCUGGGAGAUCGCUAGUGAAAGCUAGUUUUGUAGCAAUACACUGCCAGUAAGGUGCUGCAUGGCCGUCGUCAGCUCGUGCCGUGAGGUGUUGGGUUAAGUCCCGCAACGAGCGCAACCCCUAUCUUUAGUUGCCAACAGGUAAUGCUGGGAACUCUAAAGAAACUGCCGCCGUAAGGUGUGAGGAAGGAGGGGAUGAUGUCAGGUCAUCAUGGCCUUUAUGCCCAGGGCUACACACGUACUACAAUGGGGGAGACAAAGGGCUGCAACAUAGCGAUAUGAAGCCAAUCCCAAAAACUCCCUCUCA